UCCGGUCGCUGCAUCCGCCAGCGAGGAGGCCGGGACCGUCGGAUCCGGCGACCCCGGCCUCCUCGUCGGCGGAUCCGGCCACCCGGA
rnacentral:pre_miRNA from 1 species